UACGGGAGGCAGCAGUGGGGAAUAUUGCACAAUGGGCGCAAGCCUGAUGCAGCCAUGCCGCGUGUAUGAAGAAGGCCUUCGGGUUGUAAAGUACUUUCAGUCGUGAAGGAAGGUGUUAAGGUUAAUAACCUUAGCAAUUGACGUUAGCGACAGAAGAAGCACCGGCUAACUCCGUGCCAGCAGCCGCGGUAAUACGGAGGGUGCGAGCGUUAAUCGGAAUUACUGGGCGUAAAGGGCACGCAGGCGGUUAAUUAAGUUGGAUGUGAAAUCCCCGGGCUUAACCUGGGAAUGGCAUUCAAGACUGGUUAGCUAGAGUCUUGUAGAGGGGGUAGAAUUCCAUGUGUAGCGGUGAAAUGCGUAGAGAUGUGGAGGAAUACCGGUGGCGAAGGCGGCCCCUGGACAAAGACUGACGCUCAUGUGCGAAAGCGUGGGGAGCAAACAGGAUUAGAUACC
rnacentral:rRNA from 1 species